rnacentral:tRNA from 1 species
GCCGGUGUGGCGGAACUGGCAGACGCCCGGGACUUAAAAUCCCGUGAGGGUAAUACCUCGUACCGGUUCGAUCCCGGUCACCGGCACCA